rnacentral:lncRNA from 10 species
AGGUGACCUCACAGUGACUCAAGCUACCACUUACUGUUGAUUGUGACGAAAUGCCAGCUGAGGCACAUGCCUUGGGAGCUAAGUGGUUGCUGCACUUGACCACUGUGAAGACUGGUGUGGGAAGGGUCGUUUCGGAUGCACUUGAGCAGGGGUCCCCAACCCCUGAGCCAUGGAGCCGCAAGGAGCCACACAGCAGGAGGUGAGUGGUGUCGAGUGAGGGAGUGAGGGAAGCUUCGUCUGUAUUUACAGCCACUCCCCUUUGCUCACAUUCCCGCCUGAGCUCCACCUUCUCAGAUCAGCAGCAGCAUUAGAUUCUCAUAGGAGAACGCACCCUGUUGUGAACUGUGCAUGUGAGGGAUCUAGGUUGCGCUGUCCUUAUGAGAAUCUAAUACCUAUUGAUCUGUCACUUUCUCCCAUCACGCUCAGGUGGGACCAUCCAGUUGCAGGAAAACAAGCUUAACACGCCCACUGAUUCUACAUUAUGCUCCUACCUCCUGGCAGCCUCUCCAGGCCCAGAACUUUCU